UAAAAAAACACCAAGGAUCGGGUUACUAAUGAUGUGGCCAUCAAACCUACUGAUGUGGUUACCAAGGCCACCGAUAAAAGAGCAAGUUACGACUAAUCAGGUGUAUAAACCAAAAGAGCCAGGGGAGCAGGCUCGUGACAAAGUUCCUACACACAAUCAGUUCACCAAUCUAGAAGUAGAUGAGGGGGAGCUCGUAGAACAAACCACAAAUAAAGGGAUGUCUACUCCAGAUCUCUUACAACAAAUUCUGAUCUAUAUUAAUGCUACCAUUGAAGAGGUAGUUGUUGCGGAAGAAAUUCAAGCAGUUCCGGUAGAUAAUAGGGCGGAUAUAACUCCUAUAGCUAGGGCGGAUGCUCGGGACUCUACUGAAACUCUUUGCUUGGGGUAGUCUGGAAGACUUAUCAGCGCCGACCCGAAUGGAGACUCGAAUUUGUAAGUCUUGGCAGUGGAAAAUGCAAUGAAGAUCCAGCGUCUUGAGGAAUAUAUUAACGCAACUUUAACCCCUUCUGAGGGGUUAGCUGCCUCUAUUGAUACAACUCAUGUGGCUGAGAAGGUCUCUACAGCCACUGUGGAAAUUGCUAAUCGAAUUAGCAGGUUGGAGGAACAGAGCCGUGUCGCCAAACUUCCUCGAAUGGGACCUAAUUUGGGGCUUUUGGCGGAUGGAUGAAGUUGAAAAAGCCAUGGAACUGCUGAAGUUUGGAGGGGUUGGGGUAUGGGGUAACGUGUAUAGGUGUGGGGUGUGUGUUGUGUGGUAGGGGGCUCACCAGAUGAUAAAAUCCAAGAUGCUCCCAAAUUCCGUCCAAUGUGUAGAAAAGCCCACCUUGAUUUUGAAAAAAAUCUAAAGUUCCCAAUAUAUAAAUCGACACCAACCGACAUGAACUAACCAUAUGGCCGUUAACAAAUUGAAGGUAUUGGAUGGAACCGUAUUGUUGCUUCCUUUUCUAUCCGAGAGGAACUCAUGGUUCUGGUGAGGCAGUGGGGGAUUAGGAACCAUGAUGAUUGUGGGGUGGUGGGGAUUAGGAACUCGUUGCUUCAUUUUCUAUCGCGAUUGGGGGGUGGGAAUCAAGAACCUUGAUGAUAUUUCUUCUUCCAAAAUAUUGAUUUCUACUUCUUAUUCACACAUUGAUUCAUUUUUCUUUUUCAUAAACGUAAAUAAUUAUAGCAUAUAUACUUCUGUUUUGCAUCAAGAGGGAAGAAUAAAUAGUUUCAGUUUGUUCUUCAACGCAAGUUAUAAGCUGAACAUUGCCACCAAAUUUUUGCUUUUCUUGUUGGGGAGCAUUAGCCGCCUGCGGGGAAAGAAGAGAGAGACGUCGACGCUUCUCAAUCUGCACAAAGAUGACAUAAAUAUAUUUUUGUUUAAUUUAAUUUAUUUAUUUAAAUUAUUUUUUUUUUUUUAUAACAAUCUAUUGACUUAUAAAAUCUAUGAAAAUAAAGAUAAAUAAAUCUAACAGAAUCUGCUAAACUAUACAGAUUAUAAAAAGUAUGUCAAAAUCAUUUAAAUUCUUAACUGAAUACACCCUCUUUAUUUGAGAUAUCGCAGGCGCUGCCGAAGCGCAGACGGGAUCGUCCACUGAAGGGUAUGGGACGUGAGCACGUGCAACAUACUACAGGUCUUGUGCCGGAGGAUAGCAUCAAAUGUCGCGUCAGGAAAGCUGUGGAGGUGGGGUAUAAGCUGAGGGAUUAUGUUGUUGAUCAUAACAGCAGCGAUAAUUUUCGUGCUAUGAAUAAUAUAGCCAACAGACGAUGGUCGGAUGAAGUGGAGUUGGAUGACAUUCACACCACCACAGAUACCCCUUAUUGGUAGUCGUUUGUUUA